UACGAAGGGGGCUAGCGUUGCUCGGAAUCACUGGGCGUAAAGGGCGCGUAGGCGGCGUCUUAAGUCGGGGGUGAAAGCCUGUGGCUCAACCACAGAAUGGCCUUCGAUACUGGGACGCUUGAGUCUGGUAGAGGUUGGUGGAACUGCGAGUGUAGAGGUGAAAUUCGUAGAUAUUCGCAAGAACACCGGUGGCGAAGGCGGCCAACUGGACCAGCACUGACGCUGAGGCGCGAAAGCGUGGGGAGCAAACAGG
rnacentral:rRNA from 1 species